AAUGCUGUGUGCUUUUUAGUUUAAUUAUCUGUCAAAGUCGUGUUGAAAUAUUUGAAUAUAUUAUAGAUAGAUACUCACUUGUUUGCAUAAACCAUAACAUUAUUUAUUACUUAAUAAGGAUUUAUUUCACUUCAAAAUCAAUGCUAAUCAGAAUGACUUCUGUUUGAUUUAUGUUCAAUUUUGCAAACACUCAUCUAAACAUACACUGAAUUAGUUGUUCUGAGGUUGAUAUGGUGCUGGUAUGAUCAUACCUGGAUCUUCUAUUGUGAUAUUUUUUGUUGGUGAUGCAGGGCAAAAUCCAGGGAAAACGGCUGCUAUAAUAGUAGGAGGAGUAGCUGCGGUGGCUUUUGUGGUUAUAUGUUUGUUAUUUGCUAGAAGUUUGAAGAAGAAACAUGAUGAUUAUUGACAGAAGAAUAUGAUUUCUGAGAGAAGGCAAAACUAUUCUUUUUGGUGCAUUGUUUUUGCAUGUUUAGUUGAUGGAUGAAGGGGGAAAAGUUUGUGGUAAAUAGAGCAUGCUUGAUACAGAAAUAAUACAGAAUGGUUCAGUGUUAUAGUUAUUGUAGUAAGAUAAUAUUGUGUUGUUGGGAAGAGCAAUGUGAUUAGAACAUGAAAGUUAGAUUCUUUUUCACAAGGGUGUAACUGUAAAUUACCCAACUCAAUGAAUGAAUGUUUGUCAUUCCAAGUGGAUGAAAAUUUUGGACUUUACCUUUA